rnacentral:rRNA from 1 species
GACAGCAGUAGCCGCGGUAAUACGUAGGGUGCGAGCGUUAAUCAGAAUUACUGGGCGUAAAGCGUGCGCAGGCGGUUGUGUAAGACAGGUGUGAAAUCCCCGGGCUUAACCUGGGAACUGCGCUUGUGACUGCACAGCUAGAGUAUGGCAGAGGGGGGUGGAAUUCCACGUGUAGCAGUGAAAUGCGUAGAGAUGUGGAGGAACACCGAUGGCGAAGGCAGCCCCCUGGGCCAAUACUGACGCUCAUGCACGAAAGCGUGGGGAGCAAACAGGAUUAGAUACCCCCGUAGUCCCUGUCUCUUAUAC